UGUUGAAAAUGCAUAUAUUGGUAGCUUAGAAAUGAGUAGAACACUUGGUUCAUUUUCUGAAUAUUGUGAAUUAUGUACAUAAUAAUAUGUGCGGUUGUCUUUUUUAUCUCAAUUUUAAUCCCCUUUUUUGCCAUAUUCUAAUGCCUUUUUUCUAUUAAUUUUAAAUCCCUCUUUUGGCCAUACACAUUUGUAUAAGAUUGUUUGAAAGCAAAAUAUGAUUGUUAGGUCAAGUAGAAAGCAAAGUCGGCAAGUUCUUAGAGUUCUUCACCCAACAUAACAGCCGAUAAAAACAAAACAAUACGACCAAGCUGCUUAGGGUUGCAAAACCCGACCCCGCCUAGUAGGUCCUUAGAGUUCUUCACCAAGCAUGGCAGCCUGUAGAGAGGAAGAGAGAAAAAAAAGAGGGAGCCAAGCCAGCCGCUUAGGUCAUGUAAAAUGCGCGCCGAGAUCCCCCGGUUUCAGAAUUUUCGUGGGGAUCCUCUCCGCUUUUCUUGCCUAAGCAAAACCCGACCCCCGCCUAGUAGGUACUUAGAGUUCUUCACCCAGCGUGGCAGCCGGUAGAGAGGAGAGAGAGAAAAAAAGAGGGAGCCAAGCCAGCCGCUUAGGUCAAGUAAAAUGCGCGCCGAGAUCCCCGGUUUCAGAAUUUUCGUGGGGAUCCUCUCCGCUUUUCUUGCCUAAGCAAAACCCGACCCGCCUAGUAGGUCCUUAGAGUUCUUCACCCAGCAUGGCAGCCGGUAGAGAGAGAGAGAAAAAAAAGAGGGAGCCAAGCCAGCCGCUUAGGUCAUAAAAUGCGCGCCGAGAUCCCCCGGUUUCAGAAUUUUCGUGGGGAUCCUCUCCGCUUUUCUUGCCUAAGCAAAACCCGACCCCCGCCUAGUAGGUACUUAGAGUUCUUCACCCAGCGUGGCAGCCUGUAGAGAGGGAGAGAGAAAAAAAAGAGGGAGCCAAGCCAGCCGCUUAGGUCAAGUAAAAUGCGCGC
rnacentral:lncRNA from 1 species